rfam:Bacteria symbiont BFo1 of Frankliniella occidentalis strain BFo1 contig020, whole genome shotgun sequence.
CAUUACCCUCAUCCCUGUAUGUCCCUGUGUAGUACUUAGUGUUUUCACUGACCGACCGCAAAUUGUGGUCGGUUUUUUU